rnacentral:rRNA from 1 species
UGGUGGAGUGAUUUGUCUGGUUAAUUCCGAUAACGAACGAGACCUUAACCUGCUAAAUAGUCAGGUCGGCUUCGGCUGAUCGCUGGCUUCUUAGAGGGACUGUCAGCGUCUAGCUGACGGAAGUUUGAGGCAAUAACA